rnacentral:sRNA from 2 species
UAUCUCUCCGUACGGGGAAGGAUGAGAAGCUUCGACUAAGGUUCGAUUCGAGCGCAGCGAGAAAGCGUUGCCGUA